rnacentral:rRNA from 1 species
GUGGGGAAUUUUGGACAAUGGGGGAAACCCUGAUCCAGCCAUCCCGCGUGUGCGAUGAAGGCCUUCGGGUUGUAAAGCACUUUUGGCAGGAAAGAAACGUCAUGGGUUAAUACCCCGUGAAACUGACGGUACCUGCAGAAUAAGCACCGGCUAACUACGUGCCAGCAGCCGCGGUAAUACGUAGGGUGCAAGCGUUAAUCGGAAUUACUGGGCGUAAAGCGUGCGCAGGCGGUUCGGAAAGAAAGAUGUGAAAUCCCAGAGCUUAACUUUGGAACUGCAUUUUUAACUACCGGGCUAGAGUGUGUCAGAGGGAGGUGGAAUUCCGCGUGUAGCAGUGAAAUGCGUAGAUAUGCGGAGGAACACCGAUGGCGAAGGCAGCCUCCUGGGAUAACACUGACGCUCAUGCACGAAAGCGUGGGGAGCAAACAGG